UCUAUUGGAAACAACCUCUCUACCUCUUUUGAGGUAGUGGUAUGGACUGCGUACACUAUACCCUCCCCAGACCCCACUAUAUGGGAAUAUACUGGUUUUGUUGUUGUUGGUAAGUGAUUAUUAUGGAUUGCAGUUGCGCGUUUAAAUGGGGAGAAGGAUGAACCGGUGAGGCUGAAACAUUUGGUUGAGGUGUAUUGCGGCUAGAAACUGAAUUUUGCACGGUGAGGGGAGGGGGCAACAGAGAUAUUGGAGAAGGAGAAGAAGUAUCUGAUAAGGGAGAAAUUGAAAUACCUGAGACAGUGGUAGCUGUUGGGGAACAGGAGAUGGAUGAAUGCGUGCCUACGGGUUGCUGCACAAUGUGAGCAGGAAGCUCGUGAUAAUCAUUUCGACUUUGAGUAUUAUCCCGUGGGUGCUGUUCAGUUGAACAAAUUUCUCAAGAUACAUUUUUAUUUUAGGUAUUUUUUAAAUGGGAAAAAAUAUUUUCGAACAGGAACUGAUUUUCAAAAAAUAAGACGUCACGAGAUAAAUAUAUUUUGAAAGUUAAAGGAUCAAAACAUUGAUGGCAGAAAUGUUUAUUCGAAAUCCUAAAUAAACACAUGGUGUCCAACGGGGCUCUAAAUUGUUUUUGGAAUAUGGUUUGAGCCAUGGAUAACACAAGCAACAAAUACUUUAAUGGAGUCAUACUUGGGCAUAAUUUGAAAUAAAAUUUCGAAGGGGCUCUUAUGCUGAAGAUUGGGUGUAGUUAGCCUAUUUAUAAGAUAAAUAGCUUGUUGACAGACAAUAACAACAACAACAAACCCAGUAUAUUCCCACAUAGUGGGGUCUGGGGAGGGUAGAGUAUACGCAGUCCAUACCACUACCUCUAAAAAGGUCGAGAGGCUGUUUCCGAUAGACCCCCGACUCAAGACAAAAGACAGUAUGAAAGAGCAAUAAAAGCAUAGAACAGGAUAAAAUAACGUAUGUACGACAUCCACAAACAUAUUGUACAUUGCCAAACACAGGACACCAAGUUCAACCUAAAUACUGACUGCGACUCAUUCA
rnacentral:lncRNA from 1 species